CAGUCGCCGCGGUAACACGGAGGGGGCUAGCGUUGUUCGGAAUUACUGGGCGUAAAGCGCACGUAGGCGGCUUGGUAAGUUAGAGGUGAAAGCCUGGAGCUCAACUCCAGAAUUGCCUUUAAGACUGCCGAGCUAGCAGGUGAGAGAGGUAAGUGGAAUUCCGAGUGUAGAGGUGAAAUUCGUAGAUAUUCGGAAGAACACCAGUGGCGAAGGCGACUUACUGGCUCAUACUGGACGCUGAGGUGCGAAAGCGUGGGGAGCAAACAGGAUUAGAUACCCCAGUAGUCCCUGUCUCUUUAUA
rnacentral:rRNA from 1 species